rnacentral:rRNA from 1 species
AUGGCGGCGCUAGAGCAAGCAUUCCAUGGGAGAGCGCUGUAUGCCAGCAUCAUUGGACAGUCGCGGAGCCUUGUGACGACGGAGGCACUCACCGCGGCGAUGGCGUCUCAUUGUGGCAUCAGGUCGGCAGCCAUGAAGGUGGAGGUGACCAGCCCACCAUUCCACUUUUUCGUGUGGUUUGACUCGCUGGAGGAUUGCACUUGGUGGUGCUCGCGUCGGAGCAGGUGCGUUGCGGCGGCAGCAGAAUUAGUUUUCAACAUUGGUCAAGUUUGUCGCAUGGUAGGCCGUCGAAGCUGGAGUACAAGACGACGCUGA